rnacentral:misc_RNA from 1 species
GGAAGUAAAAGGUCGUAACAAGGGCUCCGUUGGUGAACCAGCGGAGGGAUCAUUACCGAGUGCAAACUCAUAACCCUUUGUGAACCUAUAUCUGUUGCUUCGGCGGCUCGCUCUCGGGCGAGCCCGCCGGUAAUAUCAGUAUCUCUGUUUGAACCCGACGAUACUUCUGAGUGUUCUUAGCGAACAGUUAAAACUUUUAACAACGGAUCUCUUGGCUCUA